rnacentral:rRNA from 1 species
GACGAACGCUGGCGGCGGGCUUAACACAUGCAAGUCGAACGGAAAGGCCCUGCUUUUGUGGGGUGCUCGAGUGGCGAACGGGUGAGUAACACGGGAGUAACCUGCCCUGGACUUUGGGAUAACUUCAGGAAACUGGGGCUAAUACCGGAUAGGAGCUCCUGCUGCAGGGUGGGGGUUGGAAAGUUUCGGCGGUUGGGGAUGGACUCGCGGCUUAUCAGCUUGUUGGUGGGGUAGUGGCUUACCAAGGCUUUGAUGGGUAGCCGGCCUGAGAGGGUGACCGGCCACAUUGGGACUGAGAUACGGCCCAGACUCCUACGGGAGGCAGCAGUGGGGAAUAUUGCACAAUGGGCGGAAGCCUGAUGCAGCAACGCCGCGUGCGGGAUGACGGCCUUCGGGUUGUAAACCGCUUUCGCCUGUGACGAAGCGUGAGUGACGGUAAUGGGUAAAGAAGCACCGGCUAACUACGUG